CCUCUUUUUUGUCGGAUCGCUCUCCAGUCUCGACUCGAAAUCGACGAACGAUGUUUUCCGAGUCGCCAUCGCAUGAUGCCAACUUUUCCACUGAGCCA
rnacentral:lncRNA from 1 species